CUACGGGACGCUGCAGUGAGGAAUAUUGCACAAUGGGGGGAACCCUGAUGCAGCAACGCCGCGUGGAGGAUGACGCAUUUCGGUGUGUAAACUCCUUUUAUAUGUCAAGGAAAUGACGGUAGCAUAUGAAUAAGCACCGGCUAACUCCGUGCCAGCAGCCGCGGUAAUACGGAGGGUGCAAGCGUUACUCGGAAUCACUGGGCGUAAAGGACGCGUAGGCGGGUUGGAAAGUCAGGUGUGAAACCCUACAGCUUAACUGUAGAACUGCACUUGAAACUUCUAAUCUAGAGUAUGGGAGGGGGAGAUGGAAUUAGUGGUGUAGGGGUAACAUCCGUAGAUAUCACUAGGAAUACCUAAAGCGAAGGCGAUCUCCUGGAACAUUACUGACGCUAAGGCGUGAAAGCGUGGGGAGCAAACAGGAUUAGAUACCCCGGUAGUC
rnacentral:rRNA from 1 species